rnacentral:rRNA from 1 species
GCCUGGCCCUAAAUCUUGAUGCUCUACAUUACCUGAGCGUCCGCCCGAGAACUACGAGCACAAACGCUUAAAACUCUAAGGACUUGGCGGUGCCCCAAACCCACCUAGAGGAGCCUGUUCUGUAAUCGAUAAUCCACGAUACUACCUGACCAUUCCUUGCACGAAUCAGCCUACAUACCGCCGUCGCCUGCCCACCUUUCCUAGCAGCCCAACAGUGAGCGCAAUAGCCUAACCCGCUAGUAAGACAGGUCAAGGUAUAGCCUAUGGAAUGGAAGCAAUGGGCUACAUUUUCUAAGCUAGAACAUACGGAUAGGGAUAUGAAACUGUCCCUGGAAGGCGGAUUUAGCAGUAAAGAGGGACAAUGGAGCCCUCUUUAAGCCGGCUCUGGAGCACGU